AGUGAACGCUGGCGGUAGGCCUAACACAUGCAAGUCGAACGGCAGCACAGUAAGAGCUUGCUCUUACGGGUGGCGAGUGGCGGACGGGUGAGGAAUACAUCGGAAUCUACUUUUUCGUGGGGGAUAACGUAGGGAAACUUACGCUAAUACCGCAUACGACCUACGGGUGAAAGCAGGGGAUCUUCGGACCUUGCGCGAUUGAAUGAGCCGAUGUCGGAUUAGCUAGUUGGCGGGGUAAAGGCCCACCAAGGCGACGAUCCGUAGCUGGUCUGAGAGGAUGAUCAGCAACAGUGGAACUGAGAAAGGGUCCAGCCCCCGACGGGAGGACACAGUGGGGAAUAUUGGACAAGGGGGGAAAGCCGUACCCAGCCAUCACGGGGGGGGAAAAAAGGCCUUGGGGUUGGAAAGCCCUUUUGUGGGGAAAAAAAAGCAGAAGGUUAAUACCCCGCUGUUCUGACGGUACCAAAAGAAUAAGCACCGGCUAACUUCGU
rnacentral:rRNA from 1 species